rnacentral:lncRNA from 1 species
AAAUUACGGUAUAGAAGAAGAAAAUGAAGUAGAUGUGGUUAAUUUAGACGAAGAUAAUGAAAAUAUUGCUGAGAAACCCGCAGUAGGAGAUGCUAACGUUAGAUCUGAAUCGGUUAUUCUCCCUCACUGUCCUCCUAGUGCCCCAAGACCUUGUAAAAGAACUAGUAUUGCAUGACAAUUUUUUGAACGUAUAUCAGAUAUUGAGGUGCAAUGCAAUAUUUAUCAACAAAUAUAUAAGCAUAGAAGUGAAGGCAAGUAAGGGGGUACGGGUACGUUAAUGAGACAUGUAGCUGAUGAUCACAAAAGAGAUUUAAAUAUUGCAAAAGGUGGUGGGGAUAUUGGUGGGCCAACGCAAACUAGAAUGGACCCAGCAACCGGUCACGUAGCGAAAAAGUAUAAUAAAUUGAGGGACCGGGAAGAAAUAGCUAAAAUGGUAG